rnacentral:rRNA from 1 species
GACGAACGCUGGCGGCGUGCUUAACACAUGCAAGUCGAACGGAGAGGCCCUGCUUUUGUGGGGUGCUCGAGUGGCGAACGGGUGAGUACCACGUGAGUAACCUGCCCUUGACUUUGGGAUAACUUCAGGAAACUGGGGCUAAUACCGGAUAGGAGCUCCUGCUGCAUGGUGGGGGUUGGAAAGUUUCGGCGGUUGGGGAUGGACUCGCGGCUUAUCAGCUUGUUGGUGGGGUAGUGGCUUACCAAGGCUUUGACGGGUAGCCGGCCUGAGAGGGUGACCGGCCACAUUGGGACUGAGAUACGGCCCAGACUCCUACGGGAGGCAGCAGUGGGGAAUAUUGCACAAUGGGCGGAAGCCUGAUGCAGCAACGCCGCGUGCGGGAUGACGGCCUUCGGGUUGUAAACCGCUUUCGCCUGUGACGAAGCGUGAGUGACGGUAAUGGGUAAAGAAGCACCGGCUAACUACGUG